UACGUGAGGGUGCAAGCGUUAUCCGGAAUUAUUGGCGUAAAGAGCUCGUAGGCGGUUUGUCACGUCUGCUGUGAAAACUGGAGGCUCAACCUCCAGCCUGCAGUGGGUACGGGCAGACUAGAGUGCGGUAGGGGAGAUUGGAAUUCCUGGUGUAGCGGUGGAAUGCGCAGAUAUCAGGAGGAACACCGAUGGCGAAGGCAGAUCUCUGGGCCGUAACUGACGCUGAGGAGCGAAAGCAUGGGGAGCGAACAGG
rnacentral:rRNA from 1 species